UACGAGGGGUCCUAGCGUUGUUCGGAAUUACUGGGCGUAAAGCGGGUGUAGGCGGCCAUGCAAGUCGGAUGUGAAAGCCCUGGGCUUAACCCAGGAAGUGCAUCCGAUACUGCGUGGCUUGAGUACGGGAGAGGGAAGUGGAAUUCCUGGUGUAGUGGUGAAAUACGUAGAUAUCAGGAGGAACAUCGGUGGCGAAGGCGGCUUCCUGGCCCUGUACUGACGCUCAGACCCGAAAGCGUGGGUAGCAAACAGG
rnacentral:misc_RNA from 1 species